UACGUAGGGUGCAAGCGUUAAUCGGAAUUCCUGGGCGUAAAGCGUGCGCAGGCGGUUUUGUAAGUUUGUCGUGAAAGCCCCGGGCCCAACCUGGGAAUGGCGAUGAAGACUGCAAGGCUUGAAUCUGGCAGAGGGGGGUAGAAUUCCACGUGUAGCAGUGAAAUGCGUAGAGAUGUGGAGGAACACCGAUGGCGAAGGCAGCCCCCUGGGUCAAGAUUGACGCUCAUGCACGAAAGCGUGGGGAGCAAACAGG
rnacentral:rRNA from 1 species